ACCCGCACCCUAUAGGGUUUUUACCCGCGGGCACGCGGGUAAAAUGUGCCCGUUGCCAUCCCUAGUUAAGUGCCGGUGGGCUCGGCCUUCUUAUAUAAGUAUAACCCGUCUUUAUCUUCUUACUGAGGAUGGUCAUUUGAGCUAGCAUAUAUUUCAAACUUAUACUUUUGUAAUCACUCCGAUAAAAUAAUAUAAAAUUUUUGUAACUUGUAAAAUUUGGUAAUAAGAUUUCCGCUGCAAAAAUAUUGGUGUGUGUGAUUUGUGUUACUUAAUCUCGCGGUUCUGGUUGUAAGUGGUUUAUCCGGUGUCCUUGGGGCAAUCGGACGGAUCCUGUUAAGUUAUCUGGUGCACAUGCACGGCCGUCUGAGGUCUUUGAGACAAGGACAGGUGCAUGUGGGCCCGAUAACUUGGAGGUUCUGCCACAGCUGGUAUCGGAGCUGGAUUAAGUAUGUACGAUCACAUACGUAUUUUCAAAACAAAAGUUUUGGUUUUAGAACACCUAUCUUCAACUAAACACAUUGUUUGGUUUUGAAAAUCAGAUUUGAAAAACUAUAAUGCUAGCGACAUCCUCUCUUAAGCCCUAAAUUAAGGACUAUCAGGUGGCUUAGUUGAAAACCACAACCGGGUGGGUAUUGCAUACAUGUGUAUUGUUAUUUUUAAGGCCAUUCAGUUUUGAAUGGAUCGAUGCUCAGGUAAGGUGAGAUGUGAGAGCAUGACCGAACAAACGUCGGUCUAGGGAAGAGCAUAAAAAGCGCUUGAUUAUAUACAUGUUCCACAUAUGUAUAUAUGAAGGCUGCGAUGUGGAGUAUUUACUUUUCUGGGAAUUCUGUACCCCAUGGAUGUGUAUGGGUAUACAGACAUGGGAAUACUGAGAAAUGUAAUGUACUUGUAACGACGCACCUACGCUCAGGUAAGAAGGUGAGUUACCAUAAUGAGUUGCCCUAUGGUUAAAGUGUGGCAACAGCGCCUAUGCGUGGCUCGGCGCUUAAUGAUGAGCUGGCCUCCAUAUAGCAAUAUAUGGAGUAUAAACUGUGAUAAACUGUCAUGUGUGAAUUGCAUCAUGGGGAAUUGGGCUGUGAUGAAUUUUCUGCAGGUAUACUAACCUCGAAAACGUAUGUGUAGCUGACGACUAGCAAAAUACCGUGAGAGUCGUAAAUAUGCCACCGAGAUAGAACGCUAAUGCCACAUUAUGUUGGCAAAACUCGUGAGGACGUGUAGGACGAGCAUGCAUCCUGAUUGUUGCAUCAUGUUUGUCACCUAUACACCCAAGAUGCUUCUCUCAUCCUUAUUCCAGUAACCAGUGAUUGUAGAUAAUGUGGUGUAAUGUUGUAUUAUGAACUUCGAUAAAAUAGUUGUUCUCCGUUCCUUAGGUAUUAUGUUUAGAUGCUAUAUGUGUUUGCCCUUGUGCUUGAUGUGUCGAUAGAAGGUUAGUGACUUGUUUUGCCUAAACCCAAAAUUAGGCCAUGUUCUUAUUAGGUAAACUGAGACCCAAAUUUGAAUUUACCAUUAUCCCUCUACGACUAAACUCAUGUAAAUGAAUGUUUAGAUAAUUUCUUUGUUGGACAUAAAAUGUACCCAACCUUAAAUCAAGGAUCUCAAACCAUGUCUCCUUCUAGAACCAUUUCCUUGUUCAGUUGAUGCAAGUUGAGGUCUCUAUGGUAUUUGGCCUCUCCUUGUGGAUUACCAUGUUACUUUAUCGACCCAACCUAGGAAAGACAUGUCCAACCAUUUUUCUGGAAUUUGAUGUCUUUGGUUUCCCCCAUAUCUAUCGAAGGCAUUCCAACUUAAUCUUAAUAUUGUUUUCCCCUGUAUCUAGUCAGAUACUGAUCCUUGACCUUGUGAUCUCUACGAUGGGCAUAGAAAUAUGCUUGGGGCUGAAGCAACAGUCUCCCGUCGUACUCCUUUCAUCAAAUUUAGGUUAUGGCCAUGCCUUGUUCAUUUCAUCGGGCCAUGAUCUAUUUGGCUCUCUACUUGUAACCAUUCUUACAAGUGGAGUCUAUUUUUGUAUAUUGCCAUCCUUGCUCAGUCUAUUUGUGUCGCGCGAGAUUUCUUAUUGGUUACGUCUGGUAAUGGCGUUAUGACUAAAACCAAUGGUGCCGUGACGAAACCGAGGGCCUCCUAUGGAUGCACACACAUGGUUGCGCUACUUGGCAUCCGCUGGUAUCACCGUUAGUAGUCAUAAUCCAUUAUUAGACUAUAUCGAUAUGUUAUCUUUACGUAGAUUAUUCUUACCCUGCGAGAUUCAUUAUUAGUGCCAGUUCGAUAAUGGCGUCUCGAUUAAUGACUUAUGAUACCCCGGCGAAACUAAGAGCCUCCUGUGAAUGUGCACACAGGAUUCUGCUGCUUGGCGCAUGCUGGUAUCGGAGCCUCUAGUCAUGAUCCAUUGUGGAACUACACCGAUGUGUGGUCUUCCGUGGACUCCUUCUUUGAAACAGUUUCUAUGUUGUUUCUCAAGUUAUCAAGCAACAUCUAUCAUCUUUGCCGGAUCAAAUGGACAUACCACUUUCAUGUGUGGUCUUAUUUCUUUUGAUCUUGGUAGUGACUACUCAUACAAGUUCCCUUUACAUCCUUUGUGUAAAGAUGAAGCCUUAGAGCGUUUAGUGUCGAGAGACAGCUGAUUAGCUCCCAAAAUGGAGAUUGGCUUUUUCCCCUGCUGUGGAGAUGCAGGAGUUUGUUCAUUCACUCUCUUAUUCAAUCCAUUUAUUCCCAAACCAAGUCAGUGGAUAAUUCAUCUCGCAUGAAGAAACAGAUGAACAACCUGACCAAAUGAAUUUCCACCCAAGUGCAUGAUCUCCUGUUAGCCAAAGUAAACUCUCGAUCGUUGGCUUACCGAUGGUACUGAGAGGACCGACUCAAUGUCAAAAGUAGUUCAACAAGUUGGUUUUUACUAACUUGUAACUGCAUUGUGAAUAAAGUUUGAGUUUAGAGAUUGUUUUAUCGAGUUAUCUAAACUCACUUUAGUUCAACCCAUCCUAAGAAAGUACUUACGAAAAUCGAGAUUAGGUCAACUAAUAACCACCUAGCCAUUGCUCUAGUCAUGUCUCGAUCGCCUCACGUGUGCUUUUCCAGCAUGUGUGACCAUAUCAAGCCAUGAUUAGUGCUCGAUAAAAUGGAUUUGUUACAAAAACAACAUUUACAGAUCCCUCCGUUGGUGAUGUUCUCGAAUCUAUAUCACCUUUCAGGGACUUGGAUUUUCUGGCUAGCCACGGGUCAACUGUGAUGUUAUUCGACAUUCACACCCAUCUCGUGUGCUAUGAACUUACCGUGACCACUUGUUGGUAAACCUCUUUCUGUAUGUUUUACCCAAGAGGUUGCAUCUGAUUCUGUUUUGGUAAAAUCGCGUAAUUGCCGCUCGCUCAAUAGACUCAGAUAGUGCAAUGUCAUCAGAAAAAGCAAACUGCACACAUGGAACCUUAUGUGUUCCUCUGGCAGACAUUGUCUCUAUUGUUGGACAUCUCUAAAUUAGCCUAAGGCGAUACAUGUUAUGUCCACUAGAGAAACAACAUCCUGAGACACUCGCCUUUAUUUGGAAAUGUCUCAUGAUUAUCGCUGAUAUGGACAUGGGUUACAUGCUUCUCUACUCUUAGAAGUCUUUCGUUUCAAAUCUCGGGACGAGAUUCUUUUAAGGGGGGAGGGGUGUAACACCCUUGGUGUUUAUAUUCCGCUCGACAACGAGUAUGGAUUUAAGCACGUAAUAUCAGUGGAUAAAACAAAUGUUAAAUUUUAAUUAUUCUCUCUAUCGCGAUUUUAUAUCGCAUCUAUUUCGUCUGUCGCGAGUGCGACAUCGUUUUUUUUAUUUUUAUCUAUCCGGGCUCGUCCUAAAUUUUCGUGCUGUUCGGAACAUAGUUGUUCCAAAAAUCGGUGCGUCCGGUGAUUAUUUAAAAUUCAUCGCUCGCGUGAAUACGAAUUCGGAAGUCCGAUCCACUCGGAUGAUUUUACCUCGAACAGAUUAAGUAGAACUCGACGACUAAGUUUUCGAUGCAAAUAAUUAUGUCCCCACUCGUCAACUGAGAAGUCGCGUCCAAGGAAUUAUAAUUGAGAUCCGAUUCUCCGCGUAAAUUAUCUGUGGCCGUGGAAACGGGUGUCGAGACCACGGAUAAAAGUUUCCGGUUUUGAAUUAAAUCCAAUCUAGCGCAGUCUAAGAUAUCAAAGAUAAUGACGUGGUCUGGUACUAGUUUAAAUAAAGUUAAUCGAUUUAGACGAACUGGAAAGGUCAACUAAGUAUUUCGCUCUGUUCGAGCGAUCCCUACGAAUUUGGUAGAAACACUACUAGGGGCGGGCUAUUUAAAUAAACCAAACUCGAACUAACCAAAACCAGAACAAUGGUUAGCCGAUUCGCUUUCCUAUUUAAAAAUCCGAGAAAAUAAUCUAUUAUUCGAUAGCGCUUUAAAUUGGCGAUAGCGCUUUAAAUUGGCCCGUUUACUCCUUAUUUUAAAUCCAAAUCCCAAUAUUCAGAACAGAUGAGGUUUAUCUGUUUUAAACCAAAUUUGACAUAGUUUGAAUUAUCCAAGCCGAUCUUGUUUGGUUGGGUUCGUGUGUUCCUCGCCUAUAUCCAAAUCUUCAGAUAUAAAUAACAGAUAACUUUUAUCUGGGUUCAACUAAAUUAAUGGUGUCUCAAGUAGUAUAUUUGUUUUAGUCCGGUUCAUUUAUAUCUCACCCAAACUCUAAUUCUAGCACCAGUAUUUCUUAAGAAAGAAAGAAGAAAUAUCCUAUUUUUCUAAUAGCCCUCGACCUUGGAAAACUCUUGAAGACACGCUCAACCUUAUGUCCUUGCCCAGUUUCUGGACGCAUGCGAGGGACCAAAUUCUUUUCUUCUACGCAUGCCAGAGACCAAAUUCUUUUCUUCUACGCGAGCAUAAGCCUCUUCUUUGUAUUGUCCCGCCGCCCUCCAUCAGGAUAUUUUCUCAGGCCCUUGUCUGUAUAUAACGCUCAUCGGCCUGAUCCAUUUUCUGAAAAAAAUCUCAUUCUCUUUCUUAUCCAUCCAUCGCUCAGCAGGAGCUUAUUUCUUACACGUCUCCAGCGUUCACUCAGGCGUCUUAGCAUUCUUUUCUCUGCUCCUCUCGGCACUCGUCUCAGCACUUCUUCCUCAGGCCGCAACCCUUCUCUGCCAUUUGUGCUUGGCUCCCAGAAGCUGCCGAGCUAGACUCCUCGUCGUGCGCUGUUGUGCUGCUCCAUGUCCGACCGUUCGUCUCUAGCUCGCCAUGGCUGCUCCAGAUCCUGCUCGCGAGUUUCCCAGCGCCGUCAGCUUGCCGGCAUCCAGCUCGCCUGUAUCAUGGCCGUCGCGCCGUCUUUACUCGUUGGCCGUGCGUUGCCGCGCACACGCGCCCGACACCCCGGUUCCUCUGUACGCCUUGGUUGCGCGCGCCGAACUGCGUCCUUCGCAGCUCGCUGGCUUUAGCUGCAGGACACCACCAGCCGUGCCUUCGUAUCCUGUGUCCUCGACUCGUCCACAGUGUCACUCGCGAGGUGCUCGAGGUAAUGGCAGAAUUGAAAAUCGUAGCUGUGCUCAUGGCCUUCAAGACAUAUUAAGUUAUUGGUGAGUUGUCGUCGCUCUCGCUUUUCGUUUUAAUAUUUCUCGUCAGUUUGGUAUACUUGCGCUAUUAACGUGGGCCGGUGACGUGCGCGUAAAUCGCAGUAGUGAAUUAGUCCCAGAAUAAAAUUUGAUCGGAUAGAAUAAUGAAGUCUAGUACGUUGCUCGUCACAUAUUUGGUGUUAUGCGCGGACCGGAAAGCGUCGUCGAUUUCGUGGUUUCAAGUCGGAAUUAAUGAGGGUAAGUUGAUUCAUUAUUCCAGUCAACUAGGUAUAUAAAUAGAUUAAAUAUAAUUGUUGGUCGCGAUAAUUGUUAUUAAUUUAGCAUAUGUAUAUUGUGAUGUUCGAUUUAGAUAAAUCGGUAAAUCAAGUUAAUUAAGAUACACAGUUUAAAGAGUUAAUUAGAUUGUUUCUAUAAUUAUUUUAAGUUGUUGGCAUUUAAUAAUAGCGAGUCUAGGUUUUACUAGACCUCUGAAAUAUAUUUUACUAAAAAUGAUAAUGUGUGUUUAUAAUUUAAUCUUGCUUGAUAAUAAAAUUAGAUGUGAUUGAACAGAAGAAAUGUGCGUGAUGUAAUUAGUAUGUAUAGUUUAUUAUUUUGUGAUUAUUGCGCGUAGUCGUAUGUCGAUAACUAGUGUGUCCGUAUAAAAUUGUACAAUGCCUCGCCGCUAGGUGUUUAGUUCGCUAUCGCGUAGCACUAUUUAGGGUUUUUGAUAUUCCUGUUUAUAUGCAUUCAUGUGCAUCGUGUAUCUCAAUUAGGUACGAUAAUUGAUCGUGUGAUGCGGAAGACGAGCCAAGUCGACCCCAAGCGCGGACUACUCCGCAUGGAGAUGCUGAUAAACGAACCUACCUGAUCAAGUGCUAGGACAAGGAUGAUCGUCAAGUGGACGUCACCUAACAACACUAACGUAGUGUUUAUUCCAGGCAAGCCCCGGUGCAUGCAACCCCUUCCUUGUGUUUUUAAAUAAUUUUUGCACACUUUAAGUCUAGUGAAAUGUGCAUUAGGUUUAUAGGAGUUGCUUGGAAACCCUUUGAUGCAUUGCCUUCCUUGAAAUCCAUACCUUUAUAGAUACUUCUGGUGAAGUAUCAAAAUAUGAUUUACAAAAAUGCUUAGCCCUGCUCAGAUCUUGUGGAUAGAGGUUGUCUUUUGCGUUAAGGCCUUGCUCAGGGGUUAUCCUGAGGAAAGAUGGCUUCUACCUGCAAGAAUAUUUUCAUUGAGACCGUGGUGGGAUCUUACUGCAAAGUUCCCUAUAAUGCUCUUUUCAUCCUAGGGAGCACAAACACUCCUAAGGAUGGAAGUACUUAAAUCGGGACUUGGGCUAGGAACAGGUGAUGCUCCGCCCGGGUCAAUUAAGGAUUGGAUGUGUAUGUAGGCCUGAUAGAUCAAGGACUAUCUUAACUGGCCACAUGCCCUGGAAAUGGGACAGGGUAAGCUUGAACCCGGCUAUUCCAUACGUGAAAAGACAACCGCGCACUGGGCGUGGGAGAUGGUGGGAGUAGCGUGUGCCCUCCUGGCUAGAGGCUGGAUGGAGGAGUACUGUGCUCCCGGGUAGCGCGGACCGGUUCACGUUGUGGAGGAUCUGUGGGAACGGUUGACAUAUGCAAGGGUUAAGUGCUACAUAUGUCGUGUGGUUAGAGAUCCUCAGCUGAGUAAAUCGAUUCGGAUCGCCGUUAUAUCCCCGAAGAGUGGAGACUUGAUCACUGACCUGCAACCUAAGUCAGGAUGUGAACCUCAUGAAUAAAAAUGAUGUUGUAUUGAUGAGAUGAUGAAAUUAGACCAGAUGCAAAUAGAGUCUAUUAAUAUUUAAUCUGGCAUUAAAAUAUUGAAAGUAAGAACUCACUUUAGUAAGCUAUUUCUGCAAAAGUAUCUAAGUUGAUUCUUGCUAAAGCCUCUCCUUGAUUCCUAAAUCCAGCAUACCCUUGAGAGUCUUUUCUUUAGUCGGGUAAGUCUUGCUGAGUAAUUCCAUACUCAGGGUUUUAUUCCCUGUUGUUUUUCAGGUUCUAACUUUGUGCUGCUUUUGAUGGUGUUAAGUGCCGGUGGGCUCGACCUUCUUAUAUAAGUAUAACCCGUCUUUAUCUUCUUACUGAUGAUGGUCAUUUGAGCUAGCAUAUAUUUCAAACUUAUACUUUUGUAAUCACUCCGAUAAAAUAAUAUAAAAUUUUUGUAACUUGUAAAAUUUGGUAAUAAGAUUUCCGCUGCAAAAAUAUUGGUGUGUGUGAUUUGUGUUACUUAAUCUCGCGGUUCUGGUUGUAAGUGGUUUAUCCGGUGUCCUUGGGGCAAUCGGACGGAUCCUGUUAAGUUAUCUGGUGCACAUGCACGACCGUCUGAGGUCUUUGAGACAAGGACAGGUGCAUGUGGGCCCGAUAACUUGGAGGUUCUGCCACAUCGGUGAAGACAAAGGCUUCCACUCCGUAACUCAUCCUUCGCUGUCGCUCCGAGCAACUCUUCAUCUUUGGUAUAAUCUUCACUCACAUGUUAUUUACCAAAGGGUGCAAAAGUAGUUUAAAAAGGGCUCUAAUGAUUUCGUUUUUGGCGAUUUAUGCCAAAGGGGGAGAGAGCAUGAGCCCAAAGCAAAAGGACCGCACCACCACCAAUUUCAAAAAUUUUAGUCUUUCAAUUUGGUUUUAAAGAAGUAUUUUCAAAUUGGUAUUUUAUGUGUUAUAUAAUUUCAAAUUGGUAUACCCUCUUCAAAAUUAACAUCAAAACCCUCUUGAACACUAAGAGGAGGAUUUCAUUAAGGGGGAGUUUUGUUUAGUCAAAGUAAAAGCAUUUGAAACAGGGGGAGAAAAUUUCAAAUCUUGAAAAUGCUUCGCAAAAUCUUAUUCAUUUACCUUUGACUAUUUGCAAAAGGACCUUGAAAAGGAUUUACAAAAGAAUUUGCAAAAACAAAACAAGUGGUGCAAGCGUGGUCCAAAAUGUUAAAACUAAAGAAACAAUCCAUGUGUAUCUUAUAAGUAUUUAUAUUGGCUCAAUUCUAAGUAACCUUUGCACUUACAUUAUGCAAACUAGUUCAAUUAUGUGCUUCUAUACUUGCUUUGGUUUGUGUUGGCAUCAAUCACCAAAAAGGGGGAGAUUGAAAGGGAAUUAGGCUUACACCUAUUUUCCUAAUUGAUUUUGGUGGUUGAAUUGCCCAACACAAAUAAUUGGACUAACUAGUUUACUCUAGUCUAUAAGUUAUACAGGUGCCAAAGGUUCACAAAAAGCCAAUAAAAAGACAAAGAAAAGGGUUCAACAAAAAGAGCAAGGGACAACCGAAGUGUGCCCUGGUCUGGCGCACCGGACUGUCCGGUGUGCCACCGGAUAGUGUCCGGUGCACCAGGGAACUCCAAGCCCAACUCAACACCUUCGGGAAUUCUCAGAGGCGCUCCGCUAUAAUUCACCGGACUAUCCGGUGCACCACCGGACAGUGUCCGGUGCUCCAAGGAAGAGCGACUCUGAAGUCACCAGCUUCGGGAAUCCGCUCCGCUAUAAUUCACCAGACAUGUCUGGUGCACACCGGACUGUCCGGUGAGCCAGCGGUGCAACGGCUACUUCGCGCGCAACGGUCGACUGCAACGCAUUAAAUGCGUGCCUGCGCGCGCAGAGGACAGAGCACACGCGAGUGGCACACCGGACAGUCUACAGGACUUGUCCGGUGCGCCACCGGACAGCCAUGUGGGCCCAUAAGACAGAGCUCCAACGGUCGAAACCCAACGACCUGGUGACGUGGCUGGCGCACCGGACAGUGUCCGGUGGCGCACCGGACUGUCCGGUGCGCCAUGCGACAGCAGCCUCCACCAAACGGCUAGUUUGGUGGUUGGGGUUAUAAAUACCCCCAACCACCCCACAUUCAAGUCAUCCAAGUUUUCCACCUUCCAACUACUUACAAGAGCUCUUGCAUUCAAUUCUAGACACACCCAAGUGAUCAAAUCCUCUCCCAAUUCGACAAAAGCUUUAGUGUUAAGUGAGAGAGAUUUGUUGUGUUCUUUUGAGCUCUUGCGCUUGGAUUGCUUCUUUCUUUCACUCUUUCUUGCGAACAACUCAAUUGUAACCGAGGCAAGAGACACCAAUUGUGUGGUGGUCCUUGCGGGGAAGUUCGUUCCCGUUUGAUUGAGAAGAAGAAGCUCACUCGGUCCGAGGGACCGUUUGCGAGAGGGAAAGGGUUGAAAGAGACCCGGUCUCUGUGACCACCUCAACGGGGAGUAGGUUUGCGAGAACCGAACCUCGGUAAAACAAAUCCGCGUGUCACACUCUCUAUUCGCUUGCGAUUUGUUUUGCACCCUCUCUCUCGGACUCGAUUAUAUUUCUAACGCUAACCCGGCUUGUAGUUGUGAUUAAGUUUGUAAAUUUCAGAUUCGCCCUAUUCACCCCCCCCUCUAGGCGACUUUCACACACGCUGUCAGUUUGCUACUGGUCACCCCAACCGUUGCGCCCGUCUUUGCGGUAAACUGGUGUGUGGCCCCCCACGCAUGGCGGUUCGGUCGUGCCCCGCGCGCGUGGGGCGCCCUGUUGGCACCGCCCAUGUUGAGAAUACUUUUCAGCAGCGGCCCCAAGGCGGCAUGGGAGCGCACGGCGGUUUGUUCUUCCUGCGCAUGGAGACCAGCGCCCCAGCCAUGUGACUUGCAGGCUCGGG
rnacentral:lncRNA from 1 species